rnacentral:rRNA from 1 species
UGGGGAAUUUUGGGCAAUGGGCGAAAGCCUGACCCAGCAACGCCGCGUGAAGGAUGAAGUAUUUCGGUAUGUAAACUUCGAAAGAAUAGGAAGAAUAAAUGACGGUACUAUUUAUAAGGUCCGGCUAACUACGUGCCAGCAGCCGCGGUAAUACGUAGGGACCAAGCGUUGUUCGGAUUUACUGGGCGUAAAGGGCGCGUAGGCGGCAAUUCAAGUCAUCUGUGAAAUCUCCGGGCUUAACUCGGAACGGUCAGAUGAUACUGCCUUGCUAGAGUGCAGAAGGGGCAAUCGGAAUUCUUGGUGUAGCGGUGAAAUGCGUAGAUAUCAAGAGGAACACCUGAGGUGAAGACGGGUUGCUGGGCUGACACUGACGCUGAGGCGCGAAAGCCAGGGGAGCAAACGGGAUUAGAUACCCAGGUAGUCCCUGAGCGGGCUGGCAAGGCGCAU